GGGCCGGUAGCUCAGUUGGGAGAGCGCCAGAAUCGCACUCUGGAGGUCGGGAGUUCGAAUCUCCUCCGGUCCACCC
rnacentral:tRNA from 1 species